rnacentral:rRNA from 1 species
GUGGGGAAUAUUGGACAAUGGGCGAAAGCCUGAUCCAGCCAUGCCGCGUGUGUGAAGAAGGUCUUCGGAUUGUAAAGCACUUUAAGUUGGGAGGAAGGGCAGUAAGUUAAUACCUUGCUGUUUUGACGUUACCGACAGAAUAAGCACCGGCUAACUUCGUGCCAGCAGCCGCGGUAAUACGAAGGGUGCAAGCGUUAAUCGGAAUUACUGGGCGUAAAGCGCGCGUAGGUGGUUCAGCAAGUUGAAGGUGAAAUCCCCGGGCUCAACCUGGGAACUGCCUCCAAAACUACUGAGCUAGAGUACGGUAGAGGGUAGUGGAAUUUCCUGUGUAGCGGUGAAAUGCGUAGAUAUAGGAAGGAACACCAGUGGCGAAGGCGACUACCUGGACUGAUACUGACACUGAGGUGCGAAAGCGUGGGGAGCAAACAGGAUUAGAAACCCGAGUAGUCC